rnacentral:rRNA from 1 species
AUGCAAGUCGAGGGGCAGCAUGAACUAGCAAUAGUUUGAUGGCGACCGGCAAACGGGUGCGGAACACGUACACAACCUUCCUUUAAGUGGGGAAUAGCCCAGAGAAAUUUGGAUUAAUACCCCGUAACACAACGAAGUGGCAUCACUUUGUUGUUAUAGUUUCGGCGCUUAAUGAUGGGUGUGCGUAUGAUUAGAUAGUUGGCGAGGUAACGGCUCACCAAGUCUACGAUCAUUAGCUGAUGUGAGAGCAUGAUCAGCCACACGGGCACUGAGACACGGGCCCGACUCCUACGGGAGGCAGCAGUAAGGAAUAUUGGUCAAUGGACGCAAGUCUGAACCAGCCAUGCCGCGUGAAGGAUUAAGGUCCUCUGGAUUGUAAACUUCUUUUAUAUGGGACGAAAAAAGGUCUUUCUAGACCCCUUGACGGUACCAUAUGAAUAAGCACCGGCUAACUCCGUGCCAGCAGCCGCGGUAAUACGGAGGGUGCAAGCGUUAUCCGGAUUCACUGGGUUUAAAGGGUGCGUAGGCGGGUAGGUAAGUCAGUGGUGAAAUCCUGGAGCUCAACUCCAGAACUGCCAUUGAUACUAUCUAUCUUGAAUAUUGUGGAGGUAAGCGGAAUAUGUCAUGUAGCGGUGAAAUGCUUAGAUAUGACAUAGAACACCCAUUGCGAAGGCAGCUUACUACGCAUAUAUUGACGCUGAGGCACGAAAGCGUGGGGAUCAAACAGGAUUAGAUACCCUGGUAGUCCACGCCCUANACUAUGGAUACUCGACAUAUGCGAUACACUGUAUGUGUCUGAGCGAAAGCAUUAAGUAUCCCACCUGGGAAGUACGUUCGCAAGAAUGAAACUCAAAGGAAUUGGCGGGGGUCCGCACAAGCGGUGGAGUAUGUGGUUUA